CCUCGGGUGGCAGCAGUGGGGAAUAUUGCACAAUGGGCGCAAGCCUGAUGCAGCCACGCCGCGUGUGUGAAGAAGGCCUUCGGGUUGUAAAGCACUUUCAGCGGGGAGGAAGGCGGUGAGGUUAAUAACCUCAUCGAUUGACGUUACCCGCAGAAGAAGCACCGGCUAACUCCGUGCCAGCAGCCGCGGUAAUACGGAGGGUGCAAGCGUUAAUCGGAAUUACUGGGCGUAAAGCGCACGCAGGCGGUCUGUCAAGUCGGAUGUGAAAUCCCCGGGCUCAACCUGGGAACUGCAUUCGAAACUGGCAGGCUAGAGUCUUGUAGAGGGGGGUAGAAUUCCAGGUGUAGCGGUGAAAUGCGUAGAGAUCUGGAGGAAUACCGGUGGCGAAGGCGGCCCCCUGGACAAAGACUGACGCUCAGGUGCGAAAGCGUGGGGAGCAAACAGGAUUAGAUACCCGUGUAGUC
rnacentral:rRNA from 1 species